rnacentral:rRNA from 1 species
GAUGAACGCUAGCGGCAGGCUUAACACAUGCAAGUCGAGGGGCAGCAUGAGACGGAGAUUCGUCGAAGUCUUGAUGGCGACCGGCGCAAGGGUGCGUAACGCGUGAGCAACUUGCCCGUUUCUGGGGAAUAACCGGUGGAAACGCCGACUAAUACCCCAUAGUAUAACGAAGAGGCAUCUUUUUGUUAUUAAAGAAUUUCGGAAACGGAUAGGCUCGCGUGACAUUAGCUAGAUGGCGGGGUAACGGCCCACCAUGGCGACGAUGUCUAGGGGUUCUGAGAGGAAGGUCCCCCACACUGGAACUGAGACACGGUCCAGACUCCUACGGGAGGCAGCAGUGAGGAAUAUUGGUCAAUGGUCUGACGACUGAACCAGCCAUGCCGCGUGAAGGUGACGGCCCUAUGGGUCUUAAACUUCUUUUGUAAGGGAGCAAUAAGUCUCACGUGUAGGAUGAUGAGAGUACCUUACGAAUAAGCAUCGGCUAACUCCGUGCCAGCCGCCGCCGUAACAC